AGCUACUUGAGAAGUAGAGGCAAGAAGAUCUCAAAUUCCAGACCAGCCUGGGAAAUUUAACAAAGCCCCUGUGUCUCAAAAUAAAAAUAAAGAAAUAGGGACGCAGUUCAGUGGCAAAGUGCUCCUGGGUUUAAUCUCUAAAUCUACUGUAAAUGCGGGGGGUGGGGAGUAAAAUAAAGUGCCGCAGUCUGGCUGGGCACAAUUCAGGAGCCACUUGUCAAAAGAAACGAACUUUAUUUUUAGAACACACACACCACACCACACAGCUCCUCAGGAAAAACCCUCAGAGCCCAACUGCCACCACCGGCUUCCCACAAGCCUCUCAACCUCCCCCCCUCCUCCUGCUCUUGAGGCCGAUUGGCUGGGUCACGUGGGCGGAGCAAAAAAAAGUCCCCCAAUGAGCAGCUCCGUGGUCUGAAAGGGAGGGGAAACAGCCCAAUGAGCAUCACCGCAGAGGAGCCAAUCAGUUGGCAGCUAGAAGUUGCUGGGGCCACUGUGAGCCAAUCAUCAGCUGGCAGCUGGAAGUUUGCUGGGGCCCCUUCGGCUGUGGCUCUCAACAUCUCCCCCUCUCUGUUUAAACAACAAGCAUGUGGCUUAGGGACCCUGCCUGCCUUAGGUUGUCCAAUACUACAUAUGGUCCUUACCUGUAAUCGGAUGAGCUGACCUCAAGGCGUCAGCCUCCUGUCUUAGGUUGGUACCAUUGCAAUUGGAUCUUACCCAUUAUUGACUACCGGUUCAGCAUACAGCCACACCUGUGCAUAGGUCUUUGUACCAACGGGGGGGGGGGGGGGGGGGNNNNNNNGGGGGGGUGAGGUUCUUUGCCUCACCUCUGUUGGCCCCCAAAUUUUAGCUGAACGACCAUGACAAGCAGAAGGGAGGAAGAUACACCAAGCCAAUUGACGGCUCCUUUUGGAAAAAUUGUACCACCGAUGACACCAUCAGCAAAAAUACCCCAACACUACCACAAGUCGCUGCACCAACAGAUAGUUCACAAUGCAUAAAGUGAGUUCACAAUGCAUACAAGUGAUACAUAGUCCAGGCAAGUUCUGCAAGCAGUUCAGUGAUAGCUCCUUUUGGAAAAAUUGUACCACUGAUGACACCAUCAGCAAAAAUACCCCAACACUACCACAAGUUGCUGAUAAUGCCAAGGUCGCGGGUUCUCCCCGUACGGGCCACCAAAUGCCGCAGUGGAAGUUUGCUGGCAGCUGGAAGUUUGCUGGCAGCUGGAAGUUUGCUGGGGCCCCUUCGGCUGUGGCUCUCAACAAUAAAGUUCAUUAAAUCCACAGAGAUUUAAAACAUCAUGACCAGCAGGCCAUCAUCUAGAGGUGGUACAGGUCAUCUUGUUUGCUAUUAG
rnacentral:lncRNA from 1 species